GAAAUGAACGCUGGCGGCAGGCUUAACACAUGCAAGUCGAGCGGAGAGAGGUAGCUUGCUACUGAUCUUAGCGGCGGACGGGUGAGUAAUGCUUAGGAAUCUGCCUAUUAGUGGGGGACAACAUUUCGAAAGGAAUGCUAAUACCGCAUACGUCCUACGGGAGAAAGCAGGGGAUCUUCGGACCUUGCGCUAAUAGAUGAGCCUAAGUCGGAUUAGCUAGUUGGUGGGGUAAAGGCCUACCAAGGCGACGAUCUGUAGCGGGUCUGAGAGGAUGAUCCGCCACACUGGGACUGAGACACGGCCCAGACUCCUACGGGAGGCAGCAGUGGGGAAUAUUGGACAAUGGGCGCAAGCCUGAUCCAGCCAUGCCGCGUGUGUGAAGAAGGCCUUAUGGUUGUAAAGCACUUUAAGCGAGGAGGAGGCUACUUUAGUUAAUACCUAGAGAUAGUGGACGUUACUCGCAGAAUAAGCACCGGCUAACUCUGUGCCAGCAGCCGCGGUAAUACAGAGGGUGCAAGCGUUAAUCGGAUUUACUGGGCGUAAAGCGCGCGUAGGCGGCUAAUUAAGUCAAAUGUGAAAUCCCCGAGCUUAACUUGGGAAUUGCAUUCGAUACUGUUUAGCUAAAGUGUGGGAGAGGAUGGUAGAAUUCCAGGUGUAGCGGG
rnacentral:rRNA from 1 species